CAUGCAGUCGACGGAACGAUGGAGAAGUUUACUUUUUCAGGCGUCGAGUGGCGGACGGGUGAGUAAUGCAUAGGAAUCUGCCCUAUAGUUUGGGAUAACUACUCGAAAGAGUGGCUAAUACCGGAUGUGGACUACGGUUUAAAGCAGGGGACCUUCGGGCCUUGCGCUAUAGGAUGAGCCUAUGUGGGAUUAGCUAGUUGGUGAGGUAAAGGCUCACCAAGGCGACGAUCUCUAGCUGGUCUGAGAGGAUGAUCAGCCACACUGGGACUGAGACACGGCCCAGACUCCUACGGGAGGCAGCAGUGGGGAAUAUUGGACAAUGGGCGGAAGCCUGAUCCAGCAAUACCGCGUGUGUGAAGAAGGCCUUCGGGUUGUAAAGCACUUUUGUCAGGGAGAAUGGCAGUUGAGGUUAAUACCCUUAGCUGUUGAUGUUACCUGAAGAAUAAGCACCGGCUAACUCCGUGCCAGCAGCCGCGGUAAUACGGGGGGUGCAAGCGUUAAUCGGAAUUACUGGGCGUAAAGGGCGCGUAGGCGGUUACUUAAGUUAGAUGUGAAAGCCCCGGGCUUAACCUGGGAAUUGCAUUUAAUACUGGGUAACUAGAGUGUGGUAGAGAGUAGCGGAAUUUCUGGUGUAGCGGUGAAAUGCGUAGAUAUCAGAAGGAACACCAAUGGCGAAAGGCAGCUGCUUGGGCCAACACUGACGCUGAGGCGCGAAAGCGUGGGGAGCAAACAGGAUUAGAUACCCUGUAGUCCACGCCGUAAACGAUGUCUACUU
rnacentral:rRNA from 1 species